rnacentral:rRNA from 1 species
UACGUAGGGUGCGAGCGUUAAUCGGAAUUACUGGGCGUAAAGCGUGCGCAGGCGGCUCCUUAAGUCAGAUGUGAAAGCCCCGGGCUUAACCUGGGGACUGCGUUUGAAACUGGGGAGCUAGAGUGUAGAAGAGGGGGGUGGAAUUCCUGGUGUGGCGGUGGAAUGCGCAGAUAUCAGGAGGAACACCGAUGGCGAAGGCAGUUCUCUGGGCCGUAACUGACGCUGAGGAGCGAAAGCGUGGGGAGCGAACAGG